GGCGAACGGGUGAGUAACACGUGAGUAACCUGCCCUUGACUCUGGGAUAACCUCCGGAAACGGAAGCUAAUACCGGAUAUGACGCACGGAGGCAUCUCCUGUGCGUGGAAAGAAUUUCGGUCAAGGAUGGACUCGCGGCCUAUCAGGUAGUUGGUGAGGUAACGGCCCACCAAGCCUACGACGGGUAGCCGGCCUGAGAGGGUGACCGGCCACACUGGGACUGAGACACGGCCCAGACUCCUACGGGAGGCAGCAGUGGGGAAUAUUGCACAAUGGGCGCAAGCCUGAUGCAGCAACGCCGCGUGAGGGAUGACGGCCUUCGGGUUGUAAACCUCUUUUAGUAGGGAAGAAGCGAAAGUGACGGUACCUGCAGAAAAAGCACCGGCUAACUACGUGCCAGCAGCCGCGGUAAUACGUAGGGUGCGAGCGUUGUCCGGAAUUAUUGGGCGUAAAGAGCUCGUAGGCGGUCUGUCGCGUCUGCUGUG
rnacentral:rRNA from 1 species